UGAACGCUGGCGGCGUGCCUAAUACAUGCAAGUCGAACGAAACUUCUUUAUCACCGAGUGCUUGCACUCACCGAUAAAGAGUUGAGUGGCGAACGGGUGAGUAACACGUGGGCAACCUGCCCAAAAGAGGGGGAUAACACUUGGAAACAGGUGCUAAUACCGCAUAACCAUAGUUACCGCAUGGUAACUAUGUAAAAGGUGGCUAUGCUACCGCUUUUGGAUGGGCCCGCGGCGCAUUAGCUAGUUGGUGGGGUAAAGGCUUACCAAGGCAAUGAUGCGUAGCCGAACUGAGAGGUUGAUCGGCCACAUUGGGACUGAGACACGGCCCAAACUCCUACGGGAGGCAGCAGUAGGGAAUCUUCCACAAUGGGCGAAAGCCUGAUGGAGCAACGCCGCGUGGGUGAAGAAGGUCUUCGGAUCGUAAAACCCUGUUGUUAGAGAAGAAAGUGCGUGAGAGUAACUGUUCACGUUUCGACGGUAUCUAACCAGAAAGCCACGGCUAACUACGUGCCAGCAGCCGCGGUAAUACGUAGGUGGCAAGCGUUAUCCGGAUUUAUUGGGCGUAAAGGGAACGCAGGCGGUCUUUUAAGUCUGAUGUGAAAGCCUUCGGCUUAACCGGAGUAGUGCAUUGGAAACUGGGAGACUUGAGUGCAGGAGAGGAGAGUGGAACUCCAUGUGUAGCGGUGAAAUGCGUAGAUAUAUGGAAGAACACCAGUGGCGAAAGCGGCUCUCUGGUCUGUAACUGACGCUGAGGUUCGAAAGCGUGGGUAGCAAACAGGAUUAGAUACCCUGGUAGUCCACGCCGUAAACGAUGAAUGCUAAGUGUUGGAGGGUUUCCGCCCUUCAGUGCUGCAGCUAACGCAAU
rnacentral:rRNA from 1 species